UGAACGAAAUGAACUCAAACUCGGGAAUCAGAGUUGUUUUAUAGGCAUAUUGAUGUGACACAAGUCUGGUUGAAUUUCUAUGUGAAUUUCACGAUUUAUUGUUGCGGGAGGAUCAUGUAUUAUUUAACUUUGAACGCCCCUAUACAGACCACUCAAACGAAGCCAGAUGGAUGAAAUGUUGUGUACGCAUGACGAUAUAAGUGUCGAGAACGUGCCUUUUAGGGUUUUCAACUUUUAACCCAAACUCCUGACAUUUGUAUACUAAAAUUUCACUUUUUUCUGAGAAUAGUACAGUUCUAUAGUAGGAAAAAAAAUAUA